CCUACGGGUGGCAGCAGUGGGGAAUAUUGCACAAUGGGGGAAACCCUGAUGCAGCAACGCCGCGUGAGUGAUGACGGCCUUCGGUUUGUAAAGCUCUGUCUUCAGGGACGAUAAUGACGGUACCUUAGGAUGAAGCCCCGGCUAACUACGUGCCACCAGCCGCGGUGAUACGUAGGUGGCGAGCGUUUUCCGGAUUUACUGGGCGUAAGGGGAGCGUAGGCGGAAUUUUAAGUGAGAUGUGAAAUACUCGGGCUCAAAUGGAGUGCUGCAUUUCAAACUGGAAGUCUAGAGUGCAGGAGAGGAGAACGGAAUGCCUAGUGUAGCGGUGAAAUGCGUAGAGAUUAGGAAGAACACCAGUGGCGAAGGCGAUUCUCUGGACUGUAACUGACGCUGAGGCUCGAAAGCGUGGGGAGCAAACAGGAUUAGAUACCCUUGUAGUC
rnacentral:rRNA from 1 species